rnacentral:rRNA from 1 species
UACGGAGGAUCCAAGCGUUAUCCGGAAUCAUUGGGUUUAAAGGGUCCGUAGGUGGGCCGUUAAGUCAGAGGUGAAAUCCUGCAGCUCAACUGUAGAAUUGCCUUUGAUACUGGCGGCCUUGAAUCACUGUGAAGUGGUUGGAAUAUGUAGUGUAGCGGUGAAAUGCAUAGAUAUUACAUAGAACACCGAUUGCGAAGGCAGAUCACUAACAGUGCAUUGACACUGAUGGACGAAAGCGUGGGGAGCGAACAGG